CAGAAAUACAAUUAAGGUAACAAAGCAUUGCCACUUAGUUUGAAGCCAAAAUACCCAAACUGGAUUGGUAUUGUCACAGAAUGAGGUUGGAGGACCAACUCUGAAGAUAUGCUCCAACAGGUGGGAUCACUUCCGCUACUGUUGCCUAGACUCUACUGUUUCCCGUUAUGAUAUUUGCAAGUUGCUCUAUUUGCCUGUAAAGGAGGGCUGCACCUGCACCCAUAGCUGCUAUAAUGCGAGACGGGGACGUGACAGCAAAAUGGGCCAUGGGAAAUCUACCUAGCAAUCAAGUGAGUGGAGCCGUUGCUGCGUCUCAACGGACAUUAAAUCGCCCGGAAAUCCAGCUCCAAGCAUCAAUUUUCUUACCGGCGUGAACACAUGGUAAUUGUUAGUUACAACAAUCUCUCUUGAAAGGUAGUGUUGAAUUGUUCAGUAUACCUAUCUUCUUUACAAAACUAUGAGAACACCCCUGUCCCCUCCCACAUUUUCUCCGUUAAAAGAACCCCAUGGAUAGAUA